GUGCCAGCAGCCGCGGUAAUACGGAGGGUGCGAGCGUUGUCCGGAUUUAUUGGGUUUAAAGGGUGCGUAGGCGGCCUUAUAAGUCCGGGGUGAAAGCCCGUUGCUUAACAACGGAACUGCCCUGGAUACUGUGAGGCUUGAGUACAGACGAGGUUGGCGGAAUGGACCGAGUAGCGGUGAAAUGCAUAGAUACGGUCCAGAACCCCGAUUGCGAAGGCAGCUGACUAGGCUGUUACUGACGCUGAGGCACGACAGCGUGGGGAGCGAACAGGAUUAGAAACCCGUGUAGUCC
rnacentral:rRNA from 1 species